CCGGAGCUUGCUCCACCGGAAAAAGAGGAGUGGCGAACGGGUGAGUAACACGUGGGUAACCUGCCCAUCAGAAGGGGAUAACACUUGGAAACAGGUGCUAAUACCGUAUAACAAUCGAAACCGCAUGGUUUUGAUUUGAAAGGCGCUUUCGGGUGUCGCUGAUGGAUGGACCCGCGGUGCAUUAGCUAGUUGGUGAGGUAACGGCUCACCAAGGCGACGAUGCAUAGCCGACCUGAGAGGGUGAUCGGCCACAUUGGGACUGAGACACGGCCCAAACUCCUACGGGAGGCAGCAGUAGGGAAUCUUCGGCAAUGGACGAAAGUCUGACCGAGCAACGCCGCGUGAGUGAAGAAGGUUUUCGGAUCGUAAAACUCUGUUGUUAGAGAAGAACAAGGAUGAGAGUAACUGUUCAUCCCUUGACGGUAUCUAACCAGAAAGCCACGGCUAACUACGUGCCAGCAGCCGCGGUAAUACGUAGGUGGCAAGCGUUGUCCGGAUUUAUUGGGCGUAAAGCGAGCGCAGGCGGUUUCUUAAGUCUGAUGUGAAAGCCCCCGGCUCAACCGGGGAGGGUCAUUGGAAACUGGGAGACUUGAGUGCAGAAGAGGAGAGUGGAAUUCCAUGUGUAGCGGUGAAAUGCGUAGAUAUAUGGAGGAACACCAGUGGCGAA
rnacentral:rRNA from 12 species